ACCAAACAGCUAGCUCAACCCACAAAAGCUAAAUUUACGACAUAGAAUAACCCAGCACAAACUAACUACCUUAACUAAACCAUUCGACCACCCCAGUACGGGCGACAGAAAAGGACCAAUAGAAGCUAUAGAUAAAGUACCGCAAGGGAAAGCUGAAAGAGAGCUGAAAAUAGCGCACUAAAGUAAGUAAAAGCAGAGAUAAAAUCUCGUACCUUUUGCAUCAUGAUCUAGCCAGUACCCCCAAGCAAAGAGACCUCUAGUUUGACCCCCCGAAACCGGACGAGCUACUCCGGGACAGCCUAUUUUAGGGCCAACCCGUCUCUGUGGCAAAAGAGUGGGAAGAUCCCCGAGUAGAGGUGAAAGACCUACCGAGUCAGGUUAUAGCUGGUUGCCCAAGAAAUGAAUAGAAGUUCAGCCCCGUUGGACCCUUCCCCAAAACAGUACUACUAAGAUUAGGCAUUGAAGGAUACCCACGGGAGUUAGUCAAGAGAGGUACAGCUCUCUUAACAAAGGACACAACCUUCACAGGAGGCUAAGAAAUACAUUGAACGAAGGCCACAGGUUUCAGUGGGCCUAAAAGCAGCCAUCUGAAUAGAAAGCGUUAAAGCUCAGACCGAAUAAAGCCUAUUAUACCAUUAAUCGCACCCAAUGCCCCUGAUUUAUACUGGGCCCUUCUAUGCUUUCAUAGAAGAGACCAUGCUAGAACGAGUAAUAAGAAGAACGAACUUCUCCCCGCACACGUGUAUGUCGAAUCGGACCCACCAUCGACAAUUAACGAAUCCAACAGCAGAGGAUCAUGCACCAUCACCACAUUAGGCCAAGAAAAUCACGCAAAUCCCCAUCGUUAACCCCACACAGGAGUGCUUAUACUUAAGGGAAAGACUUAAAGAACGAAAAGGAACUCGGCAAACCUAAACCCCGCCUGUUUACCAAAAACAUCGCCUCCUGCCCACAUCAAUUUAUAGGAGGUCCCGCCUGCCCUGUGACCAAAAGUUUAACGGCCGCGGUAUUUUAACCGUGCAAAGGUAGCGCAAUCAAUUGUCUUUUAAAUGGAGACCUGUAUGAAUGGCAUUACGAGGGUUUAACUGUCUCUUUGUUCUGGUCAAUGAAACUGAUCUGCCCGUGCAGAAGCGGGCAUAACCCCACAAGACGAGAAGACCCUAUGGAGCUUUAGAUGCCCACCAACCACUCAAAGCAGCCCAGUUAAUUGAGCACUCAAACAACGUGGUUCUGGCACAAACAUCUUCGGUUGGGGCGACCACGGGGGAGAAGAAAGCCCCCGAGAGGACUGGGGGAAACCCUAGAACCAAGAGCCACAGCUCUAAGCAACAAAACAUUUGACCGACAAUGAUCCGGCUCACUGCCGAUCAACGGACCAAGUUACCCUAGGGAUAACAGCGCAAUCCUCUCCCAGAGUCCAUAUCGACGAGAGGGUUUACGACCUCGAUGUUGGAUCAGGACAUCCUAAUGGUGCAGCCGCUAUUAAGGGUUCGUUUGUUCAACGAUUAAAGUCCUACGUGAUCUGAGUUCAGACCGGAGUAAUCCAGGUCAGUUUCUAUCUGUGACGCCACCCUUCCUAGUACGAAAGGACCGGAACGGUGAGGCCAAUGCUAUAAGUACGCCUUCUCCCAACCUGAUGAAAACAACUGAAGCAGGCAAAGGGAGGCUAAUCCCGGCCCAAGAAAAGGGCGC
rnacentral:rRNA from 1 species